UACAGAGGUCCCGAGCGUUGUUCGGAAUCACUGGGCGUAAAGCGCGUGUAGGCGGCCUUCUAAGUCCGAUGUGAAAGCCCGGGGCUCACCCCCGGAAGUGCAUUGGAUACUGGGAGGCUGGAGUACCGGAGAGGAGGGUGGAAUUCCUGGUGUAGCGGUGAAAUGCGUAGAUAUCAGGAGGAACACCUGUGGCGAAGGCGGCCCUCUGGACGGAUACUGACGCUGAGACGCGAAAGCGUGGGGAGCAAACAGG
rnacentral:rRNA from 1 species